rnacentral:tRNA from 1 species
GGCCCGGUAGCGCAGCCUGGUUUAGCGCACCUGACCACGAUGGGUGAACCUUUUAAACCAGGUAGAAAGCAGGUGGUCGCGGGUUCAAAUCCCGUCCGGGCCA